rnacentral:rRNA from 1 species
UACGUAGGGGGCUAGCGUUGUCCGGAAUCAUUGGGCGUAAAGAGCGUGUAGGCGGCCCGGUAAGUCCGCUGUGAAAGUCGGGGGCUCAACCCUCGAAUGCCGGUGGAUACUGUCGGGCUAGAGUGCGGAAGAGGCGUGUGGAAUUCCGGGUGUAGUGGUGAAAUGCGUAGAGAUCCGGAGGAACACCAGUGGCGAAGGCGACACGCUGGGCCGUACCUGACACUGAGGCGCGAUAGCAUGGGGAGCAAACAGG